ACUACGGGAGGCAGCAGUGGGGAAUAUUGGACAAUGGGGGAAACCCUGAUCCAGCGACGCCGCGUGAGUGAAGAAGUAUUUCGGUAUGUAAAGCUCUGUCAGCAGGGAAGAAAGAAAUGACGGUACCUGACCAAGAAGCCCCGGCUAACUACGUGCCAGCAGCCGCGGGAAUACGUAGGGGGCAAGCGUUAUCCGGAAUUACUGGGUGUAAAGGGAGCGUAGACGGUGAUGAAAGUCUGGAGUGAAAGGCGGGGGCCCAACCCCCGGACUGCUCUGGAAACUGUGUAACUUGAGUGCAGGAGAGGUAAGCCGAAUUCCUAGUGUAGCGGUGAAAUGCGUAGAUAUUAGGAGGAACCCCAGUGGCGAAGGCGGCUUACUGGACUGUAACUGACGUUGAGGCUCGAAAGCGUGGGGAGCAAACAGGAUUAGAUACCCUUGUAGUC
rnacentral:rRNA from 1 species